UACGUAGGGUGCAAGCGUUAAUCGGAAUUACUGGGCGUAAAGCGUGCGCAGGCGGUGAUGUAAGACAGAUGUGAAAUCCCAGGGCUCAACCUUGGAACUGCAUUUGUGACUGCAUCGCUGGAGUGCGGCAGAGGGGGAUGGAAUUCCGCGUGUAGCAGUGAAAUGCGUAGAUAUGCGGAGGAACACCGAUGGCGAAGGCAAUCCCCUGGGCCUGCACUGACGCUCAUGCACGGAAGCGUGGGGAGCAACAGG
rnacentral:rRNA from 1 species